rnacentral:lncRNA from 1 species
GGAAGGCUUCCUGGAGAAGUAGAGCCUCAAGCUAGGCCUUAAAGGAUGGGGAGGACUUUGACGAGAAGAGGAGUGAGGCAGGCAGUGGGGAGUGUGAGUAACUUUUGCCAGCCCCUACCUGCUCCCCUAUGCAGCCCAGCUGGUGUAGUGGGUAUGUUCAAGGGAGUGAUAACUAAUAGCUGACUUUUGGCCCCUGAUUGUAAUGGCAAAUCUCAUUCACAUGCAUUAACUCCCUUG